GUCAAUGCAGUUGCUUGUACAACACGUGAAUUGUGCGCGCGUGUAUUAGUUGCCGAUUGAUAUUUAUUACUAACAUUCUUACGUUCGGUAACGUACGUGAUUGCUAUUUGUCAUGUUCAAUGCAAAUCGAAUUAUUGCGUUUUUAUUGUUGGUCUUCGACGCGUUCGCAAGUCGUUCGGUUCUCGGCGGUGUGCGCGUACUCGCCGAUGAGUUUUUGGCAGAAAACAACGCGCGCGCGCGAACUUUUUUGAUUCAAUAAUAUAGAUUUCCGUGAUUUACCGCCUUCUAUGCGAAUAAACUGUUGAUUAACAAUCAACGUCCUGUAUACUUCGAUUUUCAGUCGGUGGUCCGUUCGAAGGUAUGCCGAUCGCGUUCAAGUACACGGAAUUGCCUUCCAAUCAAGCCGAACCCGACCGGUUGAAAACUCGGCGAGAUACGUACCUUUGGGUUUCAAAACGAACAGAUAUACACGUGACGUUAUUGAGGCACAAGCACCGCCGACCAGAUAUUAUUUCUUGCUCGGCACUUACCGCGACGUUUCACAAAGGAAAUGUGAUUGUAAGCCCGCGCGUGUAUUAUACGCACAACACGUCCUUCGUGCAAACGGUAUUUAGAUGUGGAGACCACGAGAACCACUUAACCUUAUUGGCGUACGAUAAUAUUGUAUUAAUUGUCGUACGAUAUCUUCAACCCGUCAACGAGUGCCACUUCGUUCGAGAAGAAUGUUAGUGUGUACGAGCGGCAUCUGUCAAAUCCGUUCCGAAUGUCACCAGGUACUCGAGCACACGGGGGACAAAUAAUACUGCUCAGACAGGACUAUACGUUUACGGCGAGCGGCGAGCAAACUCGAACUUGUUGCGUUUUUCCGUUCAAGUGUACAUCUAUCGAUGUACAAGCAUAACAUUUAUUAACAAAUAUCACUCACGCAAUAAACGUAUUUCACUUGUCGCGGUUUAGCAGCCGUACAAUCGUUUUUAUCGUGUUCUUUACGUACGGAUCGAAUUCUUAGUUGGAUUACACUAACUUAUAUCGUUUUCAGAUUCAAAUUAUUGCUCAACUGCAUUGCACUGCAGUUUUUUUUUUCAACCUAACACAAUUAUUUAUAUUGAUUAUUUUCAGUCCCCGUAUUUGCAUACGACAAAUAAAUUAUAAACUUCGUUGUUGGUUGUUGUGUAUCAAAGCGUGGAGUUUUCCCAAGGCUAUGUACCACGCUCAGUAAUAUCUGAGAAUAAUGUUUUUGGCCAUUCCAUUGCAUUUUGUAAUUAAGCAUAUCACAUGACCUAAUUCAUUAAACGCCAUUUGACGAAUGCAGUUACUGUAAUGUACUCGUACGAUUCAACGGUAUCUAUACUACUUAUUAUCAUCCCGGCUGUAAGACGAGAUCACGGGCAUGGGCGUAUUUCCUGUUCUUUAUUUCCCAAGGUAAACAUUCUGAGCAAAAUAUGAUACUUAUUGUGUCAAAUUACUUUAAGUUAGAAAAAAAAAUCAAUGACACC
rnacentral:lncRNA from 1 species